rnacentral:ncRNA from 1 species
AUAACUAUAGGGCAAACUUAUCGAAAGGUAAGGACGCAAAGCUACGGACCUAAGGUAUAAAGUACGAUGGUCGCCUGGCUGCUUAA